AUUGAACGCUGGCGGCAUGCUUUACACAUGCAAGUCGAACGGUAACAGGCCGCAAGGUGCUGACGAGUGGCGAACGGGUGAGUAAUGCAUCGGAACGUGCCCAGUCGUGGGGGAUAACGCAGCGAAAGCUGUGCUAAUACCGCAUACGAUCUAUGGAUGAAAGCGGGGGACCGUAAGGCCUCGCGCGAUUGGAGCGGCCGAUGUCAGAUUAGGUAGUUGGUGGGGUAAAGGCUCACCAAGCCGACGAUCUGUAGCUGGUCUGAGAGGACGACCAGCCACACUGGGACUGAGACACGGCCCAGACUCCUACGGGAGGCAGCAGUGGGGAAUUUUGGACAAUGGGCGCAAGCCUGAUCCAGCAAUGCCGCGUGCAGGAAGAAGGCCUUCGGGUUGUAAACUGCUUUUGUACGGAACGAAACGGACCGGGUUAAUGCCCUGGGCUAAUGACGGUACCGUAAGAAUAAGCACCGGCUAACUACGUGCCAGCCGCCGCCGUAAUAC
rnacentral:rRNA from 1 species